ensembl:lncRNA
UUAUUUACUGUUUGCAUAUUCUUAUAGGGGAAGGCCAUAAGCUAUUUCUUUCCUGAAAGUUUUCAUGCUUCACCAUUUUCAAAGAGGAUGUAAGAAAAACAAAGGAAACCUCUCCAUAUGGAAUCUCCCCCCUUCCUCCAAGAGGCACAUGCUCAAUCGCCUUAGACUCUCUGCGACCCGCUGGACCGGUCUCCUGCAUUUCCUGCAUUGGCAGUCAGAGUCUUUACCACUGAGCCACUUGGGAAGCCCUCCAAGAGGUAAACAGUAGCUAAUUUAAAAAAAAAUAAUUGCCUUACUUUUCCUCAUAUAUUCAUCUGUAAAUAACCUUUGCUAUUUUCUUAUAUCAGAUGUUUAAAAAACUGGAAUGAUGCUGAGUUUAUUUUUUAAUCAUUCUUAUAAAU